rnacentral:rRNA from 1 species
AUUGAACGCUGGCGGCAGGCCUAACACAUGCAAGUCGAGCGGAGCGGCGGACGGGUGGGUAAUUCCUAGGAAUCUGCCUGGUAGUGGGGGAUAACGUCCGGAAACGGGCGCUAAUACCGCAUACUAUCAGAUGAGCCAAGGCCGGAUUAGCUAGGUGGUGGGUUAAAGGCCGACCAAGGCGACGAACCGUAACUGGUCUGAGAGGAUGAUCAGUCACACUGGGACUGAGACACGGUCCAGACUCCUACGGGAGGCAGCAGUGGGGAAUAUUGGACAAUGGGCGAAAGCCUGAUGCAGCCAUGCCGCGUGUAUGAAGAAGGCCUUCGGGUUGUAAAGUACUGUCAGCGGGGAGGCGUUACCCGUAGAAGAAGCACCGGCUAACUCCGUGCCAGCAGCCGCGGUAAUAC